rnacentral:rRNA from 1 species
AGGUCCCGCCUGCCCAGUGAUUAGUUUUAACGGCCGCGGUAUUUUGACCGUGCAAAGGUAGCGCAAUCACUUGUCUUUUAAAUGAAGACCCGUAUGAAUGGUGAAACGAGGGCCUAACUGUCUCCCCUUUCCAGUCAAUGAAAUUGAUCUGCCCGUGCAGAAGCGGACAUAAGACUACAAGACGAGAAGACCCUUUGGAGCUUAAGACUAAGUGCCAACUAUGUCAAAUAUUUAUUAAAUAGAACCUAAUAGUAGAUGACCACAGUCUUCGGUUGGGGCGACCACGGAAUAAAACCAAACUUCCACAUGGACCGAGUAAUAACCUUAAAACCAAGAAAGACAUUUCUAAGUCUGAGAAUUUCUGACCACACAGAUCCGGCAACUCGCCGAUUAAUGGACCAAGUUACCCUAGGGAUAACAGCGCAAUCCCCUUUUAGAGUUCCCAUCGACAAGGGGGUUUACGACCUCGAUGUUGGAUCAGGAC